CUACAAGGUGAUUUAGAAUAUUCUCUGAAGUCUCCCCACUCAAACACAACACUUUCUAAAAUGCACUAAGAUGCAUUUUACAAACCGAGAGGGACCCAGAGAUGUUUCAUCAUCGAAAUAAGAAAAAGCAUAUAAUUUGUGAAAAAGUUGAAGGAGAUCAGGGCUCACACAACAACAACAAUAACAACAACAACUGGAUAAAUUAUUGGCUGCAGCGCUUGUACAAUGUGUUUAAAGAUAUUGGAUUUCCAACAAGUAGAAGCACUCAAACAAGAUAUUCGCCUCAGGAGAAAAAACAACAGAAGAAGACAAGGAAAAAGAAGAUUUUCUGGGGACUAUUUGAUUGCUUCUUGAGAAUUAUACAAGAGUGUCUUGAUUCUGAUGAUGAUUCUCAGGAUCAAAAGAGAAGCCCACUUCAAAUGGAAACUAAGACACAGCAGUAUAAGAGCUUUAAAGAAGAGAACACUUCCUCGAAGCACAACCAGAACGUUCCCACAAAAGUCACUACAAUCCAGGUCCAGUCCACUUGUAAGAAACAUCAGAAUGCAAUAUUACUUGGAUUCCCAAACGUCAAUAUGAUCUGCUACAUGAACGCCAGCCUGCAGACUUUGCUUACGCUCAAGGAGUUCGUGGAGGACAUCAAAUCCCAGGAGGACGUGUUGGCACUGUGUCCUGAGGCUCAGCUCAUGAGAUGCAUCCUAGACAUUGUGAAAUGUCACUGCUCACCUGAUUCCAGGUUGAAACUGGAGGUGGUUAUAAGGUUUAAGAAGGUCCUCUCUUUCCAGGCCCCAGAGUUUGGAUAUGAAGGCAUGAAAGACGCCCAUGAGUUCCUGACGGCUGUGUUGAAUCAGAUGAAGAACCUGCAGCCCCUUCUGACAAAGACUGCGGCCACUAUAGGGAAAAGAUACAGGUGCCCAGUUCAGACACAUCUACAGUUCAAAAUGCGGAACACAAGGAUGUGCAAAUGUUGUGGUAUUAAGUCUAUAAGAGAGGAGGAUUUCAUCAUGCUCUCUCUGGACCUAAUUGCUGGAGGGUCAGUGCAGAACAUGCUCAACAUGCACGAGAAGGAAAGACAGCUAGAGUUUAAGUGUGAGUGUGGAGGAAACACAUCAGGUCUGCAGUCUAGAUUUCUGACCCUUCCCAAAGAACCUGGUGAUGGUCAAACUGGAGGACCCCAUCGUUUUGUGCAGGGAAAUGACAGUAGCUGGCCACCAGGUACACAGAUUUGUACAACUCAAAACCAAAAAUUGAAAGUACAGCCUGGUCAGCGUCAUCAGCCACGUAGGUUCUUCGGCAAAGACAGGACAUUACGUGAGCGAUGGGCUAUACCCGGACCAGUCCAGGGAGGACGGGAACGAUCGAUGGCUCCACUUUAAUGACAUUUAUGUGAUGGAGACAAAUGGAACAGUCAUUUCUGAGAUGUGUACAGGGGAGUCUUAUAUCCUUGUCUACCGGAGGGGGGUGUAGCCCUCUCUGGUAUGAGGACGCAGCCCUCAGGAGGAGGGGCACACCCCAGAGAGCCUGGUUCCUCCCAAGGUUUCUUCCUAAAGGGGAGUUCUUCCUUGCCUCUGCUUGCCAAGUCACAAAUGUACUUUGUUACCAGAUUGGACUCCAAGUGACAAAACACAAUCUAAGUGGCUUGCUCUCUGGGAGUUAUAACAUUAAAAACUGUACAAACCCAGUUCAA